rfam:Rattus norvegicus chromosome 16, whole genome shotgun sequence.
GGGGAUUUAGCUCAGUGGUAGAGCACUUGCCUAGCAAGUGCAAGGUCCUGGGUUUGGUCCCCAGCUCCA